CACGUAGGGCGCAAGCGUUGUCCGGAAUUAUUGGGCGUAAAGAGCUCGUAGGUGGCCUGUUGCGUCCGCUGUGAAAACUCAGGGCUUAACCCUGAGCCGGCAGUGGAUACGGGCAGGCUAGAGGUAGGUAGGGGAGAUCGGAAUUCCUGGUGUAGCGGUGAAAUGCGCAGAUAUCAGGAGGAACACCGGUGGCGAAGGCGGAUCUCUGGGCCUUACCUGACGCUCAGGUGCGAAAGCUAGGGGAGCGAACAGG
rnacentral:rRNA from 1 species